AGCCCCGUAGUGUAGCGGUCUAGCAUGGGAGACUCUGGAUCUCCCGUCACCAGUUCGAAUCUGGUCGGGGCUA
rnacentral:tRNA from 2 species